rnacentral:misc_RNA from 1 species
AAGUCGUAACAAGGUUUCCGUUAGGUGAACCUGCGGAAGGAUCAUUAACACGUAUCCAAACCUUAAACCCCCUGUGAACCUUCACCUGUCCGUUAGAAAAAGCAGCAAUCCCUGGUAAAUCAUCGCCGAACAGUUUUCGAUUCAGGGACGUCUGCAAGGAGCGUGCUCCCCAAGCAGUUAGUGUCUGAAAGUGUCAUUAUGUGUAAGGAUGACGCAGUCACGAUCGUUGGAGGCCCACACGGCCGACGACCGGGUCACUGGGCGCAAGCCCCCCUCUAACAGCGCAGUCGACCAAAAACCGAACAACUGUUAACAAUGGAUAUCUUGGUUCUC